rnacentral:rRNA from 1 species
GACGAACGCUGGCGGCGUGCUUAACACAUGCAAGUCGAACGGAAAGGCCCUGCUUUUGUGGGGUGCUCGAGUGGCGAACGGGUGAGUAACACGUGAGUAACCUGCCCUUGACUUUGGGAUAACUUCAGGAAACUGGGGCUAAUACCGGAUAGGAGCUCCUGCUGCAGGGUGGGGGUUGGAAAGUUUCGGCGGUUGGGGAUGGACUCGCGGCUUAUCAGCUUGUUGGUGGGGUAGUGGCUUACCAAGGCUUUGACGGGUAGCCGGCCUGAGAGGGUGACCGGCCACAUUGGGACUGAGAUACGGCACCGACUCCUACGGGAGGCAGCAGUGGGGAAUAUUGCACAAUGGGCGGAAGCCUGAUGCAGCAACGCCGCGUGCGGGAUGACGGCCUUCGGGUUGUAAACCGCUUUCGCCUGUGACGAAGCGUGAGUGACGGUAAUGGGUAAAGAAGCACCGGCUAACUACGUG